GACGAACCGUGCGAACGUUAUUCGGAAUCAUUGGCUUAAAGCGCGUGUAGGCGGAUUCGUGCGUCUGUCGGCUGAAAUCCCCCGGCUCAACCGGGGAACGGGCGCGGAUACGACGAGUCUGGAGGGGCAUAGGGGGACCUGGAACUUCCGGUGGAGCGGUGAAAUGCGUUGAGAUCGGAAGGAACGCCCGUGGCGAAAGCGAGGUCCUGGAUGCCUACUGACGCUGAGACGCGAAAGCCAGGGGAGCGAACGGG
rnacentral:rRNA from 1 species